CAAUAAAAUGCACAUAUUGUUAAAGUGCAAUUGUACUCCAUGCUAUUCCAAAAUACACAAUAAGUGACAUAAAAUUACAGACACGUACAAUACCAGUGUCACGUGUAUUACACUUAACUUAAAUGUUCACACAACAUAAAACAGCAUAUAGUGUAAUACUGUUCUGAAAUAAAAUAUUUUGUGAAUAUCACUCACAUGUGCAGAGCAGGUAGGUCUGCUCAGGCUAUAAAUGCUCCUCUCCACCAACAUAUAUAUUUGGCGUAGUACUCUAGCAUGCAGA